rnacentral:tRNA from 1 species
UAUAUAUAAAUGUAUGAGGCAUAUAAAAUUUUGAAUUUUAAGGAAAUAGUUUAAUUCUAUUAUAUAUAU